rnacentral:rRNA from 1 species
CGCCUCUUGAAACUACAUAAGAGGUCCAGCCUGCCCAGUGACUAAGUUCAACGGCCGCGGUAUCCUAACCGUGCGAAGGUAGCGUAAUCACUUGUUCUUUAAAUGAGGACUAGUAUGAAUGGCACCACGAGGGUUAUGCUGUCUCCUUUUUCUAAUCAAUGAAACUGAUCUCCCCGUGAAGAAGCGGGGAUAUAUCCAUAAGACGAGAAGACCCUAUGGAGCUUUAAAUCAUGUAACACUGGCUUUUACAUUAAAAUAUUCCAGAAUUUUCAUAAUUACUCUAGCCACUAUGAUUACUAGUUUUAGGUUGGGGUGACCACGGAGCAAAAAUUAACCUCCAUGUUGAACGGAGCUACUCCUGAGCCAAAAGCCACGACUUUAAGCACUAAUAAAUUAACAUUAAUUGACCCAAUAUUUUUGAUCAACGAACCAAGUUACCCUAGGGAUAACAGCGCA